ACCCACCUCCCUCUCGAUCCCCACUCCUCUUCCACUGCGCCGCCUCCUUCCUCCACCUGCCGGCGACUCGCCGCCUCCACCUCCCGCCGCAACGGCCGCCCCCACCUCCCGCCCCGACGACCGCCCCCAACCUUCUGCCGCGGCUGGCGCCCCUCCCCAGAUCCCGCUACAGCCCCAAAACCCAACCGGCGCCGCCGCUGUCGUCCUGCACUGGAUCGACCCGCCGCUAUCGCCCCGCUGUCGCGUACAGGCAGUUCAACGCCUCAACCCCAAGCCGUUCAAUGCCUUGCCGAUCGCCGGCUCCUCCAUGGACGCCUAGCUCCUGCACUAAAACCACCGUGGCCCAGGGAUUCACCCCGCCCCAACCCACUGGCCCGUCUACGAAUGCCCCGCGCUCCCUCCGGUGACCAGCCCCGCCUCGCGCACGCCCCUCCGACGUCCGGAGACCUGCCACGCGCCCCGCACUCCAGCCGCGGCCAACUCCCUCCUGUGCUGCUCGGUUGCUUGCACAGACGUGUAGCAGUUCAAAACAUGCAGGCCUCUGCCCCUCCGAAAUGCCCAGUUCCCCUUCGUUCAUGUCGCUUUCUCGCCCAUACACACGGCUGGAGAAUCACCGACCUCGUCGAGCUUGACCUUGCAAGCAGCCCCGCUCGCCGUACAUGAUUUUUGUGUGUUAUAUUUGCUCAUUCCCAUUGUGCGUGUGCACUGCUUGAAGGAACGCAUGGCAGAGGACAGGUUUUUUUGUGCUUGUUGUUUGCAGGUCUUCUGAGGAUUAAAUAAAAAGCUUGCUCAAAGGAAGCAUUUCCCAUCAGUGAAUUGGCUCAUUUCCUACUCGAAUACUCCCAGGCACUCGAGUCCUACGAGAAGUUUGAACGAAGGCGUGUGAGGUGUUGCACAGGGAGGAUGAUCUAAGUGAAAUUGUGCAGGGAGAAGGACACAAUCAGGCACUGUAAAAGAAUUCUGAAUUAUUGUCUGUUAAACACUGCACAAGAUUCUGCAUCCGGGAAAUGGCUAGUCAUUAUCAUGCACCUUAGCAAGGAAUAGUAGAUGGUAUGACAUGUAAAAAAGAUGCGUUGAAGUGGUUGGUGCUGCUCUCCUGGAAGAUGAUUGAUGGCUACCUCCUCCCGCUGGCGGGGCUCUAUCGCUGCAGCUCCCUGGCUGUUCACAGCCGCCACCCUGGGUCGUUCAGCAACACAACGCUAAGCCGUUCGACACCGCAGCUUGGGAGGUGCCCGCUUUUUCCCACCCCCCUGUGUGUUUUUGGGCAGUACAAAUACAUCGCUAUAGUUAGUACAGAUGUGGCGCCUUGCGGAGUACUAAAAAGACCAACUGUCUCACAAACCGUUUUCACUUCAUCUUUACAACCGCCAGGAUAUAUAUGAUUCGCGAAACAGAAUAGCCCAGAUAUAUAUAGGACUGGACUAUAUGUGAUUUUCACUUCAUCUUUACAGAGCACAAUCCUGGCGUGCCCAGCCACUGCUCGUGAACCCCGCCUCCAUCAGCUCCACUUCACCGGAGCCGUCAGUCCGCAGGAGUAGGGGUAGCAGGUUCACCCGAUGUCCGACGCCUUCUUCCAUCUCCAAAAAUCUUGUUUUCUGAAAAAAGCUAAAAAAAGUCACUUUUCUGGUUUCAAAUUUGAGAUGAUGAUUCAGUUCAGAAAAAUGGACGCCAAAAACAAUUAAGAAGUUCAGGUCAUCCGUACAACCGCACCGAGCUCGCACUCCGCGGCCGCUGGCGCCCCCAACCUAACGCCGUCCGUGACCCUCCACUACACUCCUCUGCUGGAGGAGCAUGUCAAUUCAUGUGGAGCAUAACAGUGUUAGUUUCGAUAGUUUGUCAAUUCGCCGGUGGGAUCCGCAGGUCAGACCGUCAUUCUCCGGCCGCCGCGCUGCCUGGAUCCAACGAGGCUGCUUCGCACCGGUCUCGGAUCCACCUGCCUCCACGCCAUCACCUGCCUGCGCCAGCCCCGGCCCCGGAUCCCCCUCCAACCCAAUUCGUGCCAUGGACAAGGAAAAAACUUUUGUCAGGUUUUUGGUGGCUAGGUAUUAUUGAUAUGGAGAUGAAUAACUAUGUGCUUCGGUUGUUCUUUUGGAAAAGACAAGUUGCCAUGCUUUACUUUUAUGAGCUUUCUAAUUUGCAUACGUCUAAGUUAUUGCUUGCUGCCACUAGUGAAUUGCGCAAGUUCAAUGGGUGUUGUCGAGCAUGUUCAGAAGUAUGCCCUUCGUGCAGAAGUGUGAUUUUUUCAGUAUUUUGUAUAUUUCAUUUGGCAGAGGCUUCAUGUCAUCUUGUGGAGCUUUAUAAAUGUAUUGUAAUUACACUUUUAAGACCCUAAGUGUUCAUUACUCCCUCCGUUCCUUGAUAUAAGGUGUAUAGAUUUUUGAGAAAAACUUCAAAAUAUAAGGUGUAUUGUGUUGCACAACUCAUUUGAAUAACUUUUUUAGGGAUUUGAUUACAUCUCCUUAUAUCAAGCAAGCUCCUUUAUUUUCUCAUGUCAAUUAGUCAGGUGUAAUCUUGUCCAAAACUUAUGAAAUUUUCCCUCCAUGUGCGUUCUUUAAUUUUCGUGUCAAAAACUAUACACCCUAUAUUUAGGAAUGGAGGGAGUAUAUCAUACAUGUGUGGCCGUUCAGUAUUUGUACUUCUUUA